GACGUACGCUGGCGGUGUGCUUAACACAUGCAAGUCGAGCGGCGCGGCGAACGGGUGAGUAACGCGUGAGUAACUGCCCCCCUCUCUGGGAUAACAGUUGGAAACGGCUGCUAAUACUGGAUAGUGGGGGAUGACUCGCGACCUAUCGGCUUGUUGGUGGGGUAGUGGCCUACCGAGGCGACGACGGGUAGCCGGCCUGAGAGUGCGACCGGCCAAAUUGAGCUGGGAUACGGUCCAAAGUCCUACGGGAGGCAGCAGUGGGGAAUAUUGAACAAUGGGGGAAACACUGAUGCAGCGACGCCGCGUGCGGGAUGACGGCCUUCGGGUUGUAAACCGCUUUCAGCCAUAACGCGGUAGUGGCAGGAGGAGCACCGGCUGACUACGUGCCAGCAGGCGCGGUAGUUC
rnacentral:rRNA from 1 species